GCUGAGUAGCUCAGUUGGUAGAGCACAUCAUUCGUAAUGAUGGGGUCAGGUGUUCGAGUCACCUAAGCGGCACCA
rnacentral:tRNA from 1 species